rnacentral:rRNA from 1 species
UAGGGAAUCUUCCGCAAUGGACGCAAGUCUGACGGAGCAACGCCGCGUGAGUGAAGAAGGAUUUCGGUUCGUAAAACUCUGUUGUUAGAGAAGAACAGCGCAUAGAGUAACUGUUAUGCGUGUGACGGUAUCUAACCAGAAAGCCACGGCUAACUACGUGCCAGCAGCCGCGGUAAUACGUAGGUGGCAAGCGUUGUCCGGAUUUAUUGGGCGUAAAGCGAGCGCAGGCGGUCAAUUAAGUCUGAUGUGAAAGCCCCCGGCUCAACCGGGGAGGGUCAUUGGAAACUGGUUGACUUGAGUGCAGAAGAGGAGAGUGGAAUUCCAUGUGUAGCGGUGAAAUGCGUAGAUAUAUGGAGGAACACCGGUGGCGAAGGCGACUCUCUGGUCUGUAACUGACGCGGAGGCUCGAAAGCGUGGGUAGCAAACAGG